rnacentral:rRNA from 1 species
CACAUUGGGACUGAGACACGGCCCAAACUCCUACGGGAGGCAGCAGUGGGGAAUAUUGCACAAUGGGGGAAACCCUGAUGCAGCGACGCCGCGUGAAAGAAGAAGUAUUUCGGUAUGUAAAGCUCUAUCAGCAGGGAAGAAGAAAUGACGGUACCUGACUAAGAAGCACCGGCUAAAUACGUGCCAGCAGCCGCGGUAAUACGUAUGGUGCAAGCGUUAUCCGGAUUUACUGGGUGUAAAGGGAGCGCAGGCGGUACGGCAAGUCUGAUGUGAAAGCCCGGGGCUCAACCCCGGUACUGCAUUGGAAACUGUCGGACUAGAGUGUCGGAGGGGUAAGUGGAAUUCCUAGUGUAGCGGUGAAAUGCGUAGAUAUUAGGAGGAACACCAGUGGCGAAGGCGGCUUACUGGACGAUUACUGACGCUGAGGCUCGAAAGCGUGGGGAGCAAACAAGAUCGAUACCCUGGUAGUCCUCGCCGUAAACGAUGAAUACUAGGUGUCGGGGAGCCCUGUUUUCGGGUGCCGCAGCAAACGCAAUAAGUAUUCCCCCUGGGGAGUACGUUCGCAAGAAAGAAACUCAAAAGAAUUGACGGGGACCCGCACAAGCUGUGGAGCAUGUGGUUUAAUUCGAAGCAACGCGAAGAACCUUACCAAGUCUUGACAUCCCGAUGACAGAACAUGUAAUGUGUUUUCUCUUCGGAGCAUCGGUGACAGGUGGUGCAUGGUUGUCGUCAGCUCGUGUCGUGAGAUGUUGGGUUAAGUCCCGCAACGAGCGCAACCCCUAUUCUUAGUAGCCAGCGGUUCGGCCGGGCACUCUAGGGAGACUGCCAGGGAUAACCUGGAGGAAGGUGGGGAUGACGUCAAAUCAUCAUGCCCCUUAUGACUUGGGCAACACACGUGCUACAAUGGCGUAAACAAAGGGAAGCGAGCUUGCGAGGGGGAGCAAAUCUCAAAAAUAACGUCUCAGUUCGGACUGCAGUCUGCAACUCGACUGCACGAAGCUGGAAUCGCUAGUAAUCGCGAAUCAGAAUGUCGCGGUGAAUACGUUCCCGGGUCUUGCUCUCACCGCCCUUCAAGGGCGAAUUCCAG